GUGGGGGAUAUUGCACAAUGGAGGAAACUCUGAUGCAGCGACGCCGCGUGAGUGAAGAAGUAUUUCGGUAUGUAAAGCUCUAUCAGCAGGGAAGAUAAUGACAGUACCUGACUAAGAAGCCCCGGCUAACUACGUGCCAGCAGCCGCGGUAAUACGUAGGGGGCAAGCGUUAUCCGGAUUUACUGGGUGUAAAGGGAGCGUAGACGGAAUGGCAAGUCUGAAGUGAAAUCCUGCGGCUUAACUGCAGAAUUGCUUUGGAAACUGUCAAUCUGGAGUGUUGGAGAGGUAAGCGGAAUUCCUGGUGUAGCGGUGAAAUGCGUAGAUAUCAGGAAGAACACCGGAGGCGAAGGCGACUUUCUGGACGAUGUCUGACGCUGAGGCGCGAAAGCUAGGGGAGCGAACGGGAUUAGAAACCCGUGUAGUCC
rnacentral:rRNA from 1 species